UACAGAGGUCCCAAGCGUUGUUCGGAUUUACUGGGCGUAAAGGGUGCGUAGGCGGUCGGAUAAGUCUGAUGUGAAAUCUCCGGGCUUAACCCGGAAAUGGCAUUGGAUACUAUUUGGCUGGAGGGUUGGAGGGGGGACUGGAAUACUUGGUGUAGCAGUGAAAUGCGUAGAUAUCAAGUGGAACACCAGUGGCGAAGGCGAGUCCCUGGACAACUCCUGACGCUGAGGCACGAAAGCUAGGGGAGCAAACAGG
rnacentral:rRNA from 1 species